GAAAUGCGAUACGUAGUGUGAAUUGCAGAAUUCAGUGAAUCAUCGAAUCUUUGAACGCACAUUGCGCCCUUUGGUAUUCCAAAGGGCAUGCCUGUUCGAGCGUCAUUUGUACCCUCAAGCUUUGCUUGGUGUUGGGCGUUUUUUUGUCUUUGGCUCGCCCAAAGACUCGCCUUAAAACGAUUGGCAGCCGGCCUACUGGUUUCGCAGCGCAGCACAUUUUUGCGCUUGCAAUCAGCAAAAGAGGACGGCAAUCCAUCAAGACUCCUUCUCACGUUUGACCUCGGAUCAGGUAGGGAUACCCGCUGAACUUAAGC
rnacentral:misc_RNA from 1 species